rnacentral:tRNA from 1 species
GGGCAGAUACCCAAGUGGACAACGGGGGCUGACUGUAAAUCAGCUGGCUUCGCCUUCGGGAGUUCGAAUCUCUCUCUGCCCACCA